CAGCCGCCACGGGAAUACGUAGGGUGCAAGCGUUAAUCGGAAUUACUGGGCGUAAAGCGUGCGCAGGCGGUCCGCUAAGACAGAUGUGAAAUCCCCGGGCUUAACCUGAGAAUUGCUUUUAAGACUGUCGAGCUAGAAUCCAGAAGAGGGUAGUGGAAUUCCGAGUGUAGAGGUGAAAUUCGUAGAUAUUCGGAAGAACACCAGUGGCGAAGGCGACUACCUGGUCUGGCAUUGACGCUCAUGUGCGAAAGCGUGGGGAGCAAACAGGAUUAGAUACCCCGGUAGUCCCUGUCUCUUAUAC
rnacentral:rRNA from 1 species